rnacentral:rRNA from 1 species
AUGAAUUUGGCUGAAAGUACAAAGAGGAGAAUUGGUGAUGCAGAUUACAUCCUGUGUCCUUGUGCUGAUUGUGCCAGUACAGAGUCACAUGUAGUUGGAGAUGUCCAGUGGCACUUAGUCUCUCGGGGAUUCAUGGAUGGAUAUACACGUUGGACCAGACACGGUGAAGAGGAGGUCAUGGAUGGAGAUACCCAGGGCUGCGAGAUGCCAAACCCCGAUCUGUAUCACAUGGAUGUUGAAUCUAACAUCGGGGAAGAGGCGUCAAACUACCAAUGGAACACCGGAAAGCCGAAAGGCCCACUGGAAAACCAAGACAUCGAAGAAGAUGACAAUGAUCUUGAUAUGCCAGAUUUUGCUGCUAUGAUUGUAGAUUUCGAGGGCCCAAAAAAGGAUAUGAUUGGGUACAAGGAUCUGCCAACCAUUGAUGCGGACUCCAAGAAAGAAUUGUAUACAGGUUGCAAAAAGAAAUAUUCCAGGUUGAGUGCCACCCUGGCGCUUCUCAGAUUUAAAGCAGUAAAUAGUCUAUCAAACAAAGGCUUCAUAGAGAUGUUAGGUCUUUUCAAAGAAAUUCUUCCUGAAGAUAAUGUGCUCCCCAGAAGCACGAAUGAAGCGAAGAAAAUUGUUUGCCCAUUGGAACUUGAAGUACAAAAGAUACACGCUUGUGUGAAUGAUUGUAUAUUGUACCGUGGUGAGUACAAAGAUUUGCGUGCAUGUCCCACAUGCAAGCAUGCAUGA